rnacentral:lncRNA from 1 species
GUCAUGGCCUACAAUCACAAUGUGGCCAUUUGUCACCUUGUCAGAUACCUGGUCCUUAUGAAUCUCUACUACAAUAUUAUUCUGGUAUUAUUCACUCUGUGCACUAGGGUUGUUAAUAGCUUGCUACGUAAUCUAUUAGUGUUUUGGUUGUACUUCUGGACAGCCUAGAAAACAUUCAUUUCUUUUUUGAACUUGUUCAAGUCCUCAAGCUGGCAUGUUCUGAUACCUUCAUUGAUAGCAUCCUGGCAAUCAUUUCAAAUUCUAUAUUA